AUGGACUGCACAUUGCUGGGCAUCCGUGGCAGAGGGCACCGAUGCGGAACACACCGAAGUCCUGCUCUGAAUUCGCAUCGUGGUGUGGCGGAGCUGGGAUCCAAUCCAAGAUCUAUCCGAUCUCAGAGAAGCAGGGUAAACAAUACCAGGUGGCAGAAAAUGCUUAGGAACCAGAGCCUCUGCCGGAGGGAGGGUCAGUGUUCUGGGUGGAACUGUUUCCAGAACACGAUACACUCGUUCAUGGGUUCAUUCCUGUUCGCAUGUGGCUCUCCUCCUGUACCUCCGCACCUGCUCCUCCCCCGAACCCAUCUCUGAAGCGUUCCCGUGACUGCGGAGGACCCCUGGGCUGUGAGGUGCUCUCCUCUCAACUGGCCAUUUCUUUGUUCCCGUCCUUAAAAUGGAGGUCGGCGCACCCUCUCUUGCUGGGUGUCUUCUCAGGCCGCACAAGAGGUGCCUCAGUAGAUCCUGGUGGAAUGCAUGAGUGAAGGGUUGCGAGAACGAAUCUUGUCCCCAGAGUCAGGUCGCCAAGGUUAGUCUGGUAGUGCCCCGCUCCAGGUGAGCCCUGAGAGGACUGGAGGAGGUGAGGCAGCACAGCCGAAGUCCCGCGUGCAGCCAGAUGGUAGAAGCCAAAACAGACAAAAGAGGGAGAACAACACAGCAAUGCCCUCGACCCACAAUGCCUCAUGCUCACCAACUUCCCGGAUCUUCUCUGCAGAACUCAGGUUGCUUUUCUUAGAUCAGCUCAGAAAUUGGAGCUGAGCUUGCCACCUGCCUGCCGGGGUCCAGUCUCUUCUUAAGUAAUUUAAAUGAAUCAGGAAUUGUAAUAUGUCCAUUAAAAAAAUAUAUAUGUAUAUAUUUCCCAGCCUUUUAAACUGUAAGAUGUAGCUUGCAGAACUGUGAUCAAGUUCGAGACAAAGAAAGGAGGAAGAUGAAAGAAGUAGGUUCCAGUUCUCUUUUUGUGCUUUCUUCUUCCCUUUUUCCCUCCCUUGCUUCUUCCCUGCCCCGCUCUUCCUCCUUAUCUCCCCCCUUCUCUCUCUUUUUUCCUGUUUCUUUAAAAUAUGGAAUGUAACACAAGAAUAGACCUGCAGAAACAGUUUGGACUACGGGAUGAUCUUGAGGGUGGGCGUGUGCUGAGGUUGGGAACAGAGAGACCCAGGACGUUGGGUUCUCAAAGACCAUAGAGUCUAGAUUGCUCAUUUCUAGAAUUUUUACACAAG
rnacentral:lncRNA from 1 species